UACGGAGGGAGCUAGCGUUGUUCGGAAUUACUGGGCGUAAAGCGCACGUAGGCGGCUUUGUAAGUGAGAGGUGAAAGCCCGGGGCUCAACUCCGGAAUUGCCUUUAAGACUGCAUCGCUUGAAUCCGGGAGAGGUGAGUGGAAUUCCGAGUGUAGAGGUGAAAUUCGUAGAUAUUCGGAAGAACACCAGUGGCGAAGGCGGCUCACUGGACCGGUAUUGACGCUGAGGUGCGAAAGCGUGGGGAGCAAACAGG
rnacentral:rRNA from 1 species